AGGGUCAUUCUUAUCCCAAGAGAAUUCUAGAAAAUUCAAGAGGAAGAAGAGAAGAGAAAUUUGAAGCUAGAGAGAGAGAGCUCGGUUUUGGGGGAGAAAAAGAGCCCAAAAACGUUACCAAGCAGUCCCAAAGUUCUAGCCGCGCUAGGAGAGCUUCCGAGGCAAGUUUUGGCGAGUUUCGGGAAAGAAAAACAAGUUGGACACAUAAGCGUAGCUAGUAAGGCGCGGCACAGGUAUGUAAAGCUAACCGUUCCUUCUUUUGGCAUGUCUUUGGCAUAAGUAUGUAAGGUUUACCCUUCUUUCUCUUGGCAUGUUUUGACAUAAGUAUAUAGAGCUACCCUUUCUUUUUGGCAUGAUUUUUAUGAAACAAGUAUAUGACAUUUUAUACAAUUUCAAGGAAGUCUUAUUCGUAGAGUCACUAGGAUGGCCAAUUUUCUUGAGUUUCCAAAGGAUAUUUUUUCGUUCUUAGAUAUGUGUAUAUGAUUCCAAAAGUUUUAUUGUGAUAUAAUCCAUGGUAAUUUUUGAAAGGUACAUGACAUGACUCUUGUCCUGAUUUUUGAAUCAUAGCUCAUUCCGAUUAUUCUAUGAGUCUUGAAAAUUAAUCCUAUGUGCAUAUGUAUACGAUUUGGCGCCUUAUAAGAUUGUGACCUUAUUCUACGUUCUCUUAAUAUUAUCUUUCGUUGAUAGUCUCAUCCUAUAAUAAUUGUUCCUUCAAGGUGAGACAAAGCGACCAUGGUUAGUCUAUAAUACAAUCGGAGGUUACCGACCUUCCGUCACUCCGAUAAAUAUACGACUUUUGUUGGGCUCUCGUGCAUGCUGUCUAUAUGUAUAUGUAUAUGUAUAUGGGGGAUAUGGGAAGGUGUAUAUGCGGCGCUAUAGACGCAUUCCCACCUGAUCAGUUGGAGUAAUUUUCAUCCUGGACGCGGGAUGUCCGAACGCAGGACAUAUGUGGGCGAGCCGACGUUGUUCGGUGAUAUGACUUUUAUUUUCUAUGUAUAUGAAAAAGAAAUGUUUUUAAAGAUAAGACAAGCAUGCAUGACAUUCGGCUUAAAAGACACUCAUAUGUACAAGUUACUUCUCUACCUCGUGAUAUGUUCUAUAUUUCUACCAUGUUAUUAUUCAUAUUUAUAUUCCUUACUAUGUUACUAUUCAUGACUUACAUACUCAGUACAAAGCUCGUACUGACCCCCUUUUUCUUCGGGGGCUGAGUUUCAUGCCGCGUAGGUACACCCAGAUGAAUAGAAGCUAUUAUAGAAGAUGUUCCAGUGGGGUUAACAACUCCACUUGUUCCUGGAGUGCUGCCGAGUCAGAUUAUAAGCGCUAUGAUGUUUCAUUCGAAGUUAGAGACUUUGCAGACAGAGUUGUGGGUAUAGAGUGUCAGCUUUGUAAGCGGCGUCACCAGUCGACAUGUUAUUAUGUCGUAUGUUAUGAGUUUUAUGGGAUGAUAGAUUUUGGAAAAAAUAAAAUAAUUCGAGUAGCUUAGUUAUGCUUUUCAUUUCUUAUUGAUGUAAAAGUCUAAAGAGAUUAAGUAUGUAAUAUGAGGUAGCGGGUUCGCUCAGCUCCGAGCAUGGGGUCGGGUGCCCAUCACACCCUAUUAAGAUCGGGGUGUGACAGGUUGCUUCGGCCGGAGCUUCUGUUCCUCUUACCGCCGAGCAGGCCGCAGUUGGUGUUGCUUCGGUUGAAGCUUGAGUUGCUGCUCUGCCUCCAGCUGACCAGCCUCCAUCUGUUGUCGAUCUCAUUCUCUCGGCCCGUUACUUUCCAGCCAAGGUUCCGAGUGGUCCACAAGACCGGCUACACCCCUAUCCGGCGAAUGAAUUUAGAAGGGUGGAAGAGUAUUUCAUCUCAGAACCUAUGAUAACAAUCAAAACUGUUAAUGAAGCUAAGAUACGCCAAGUGAUCUUUCAAAAAUACGGCGACAUUGACGACGUCGUUGUUAAAAUCAAUGGGCAUAAUGACCGAGUUAAUGGUGAAGUUGGCGUUGUGUUGAAUGGAAUGGAUCUUGUGUGAAGUGAUGUCAAUAUGUAGGUAUCAGGCGAUCUAGGAAGGUAGGAAGAGCUAAUGUAGUAACUGUUUCUAAUUCGUUUUUAGCAAUAUAUUGUAAAAGUAAAAUGUAAUGAAUAUUGUGUGAAGUCACUGGGGAUUUGGGAAGGUGGGAAGAAGUAAUAUAGUAAAUGUUUGUUUCUAAUUCGUUCUUUGUAAUUGUA